CACAUCUCACAGGCUCGACGGCACGCGCGAUGCGGCAUGGAUUAACAACGCGGCUGCCGAGACCGUCUUUUUGCCCAUCUGGUUCAGCCACGGCCAUCAACGAGCACAACAGGGAUUAGCAGUGAGAUUGACCUACAUAUGUGUCUACAUACUGAAGAAAGAUGCAUCCGAGGAAGUUGUAAUGAUGGUUUCUACAGAUAGCUUACUGGAUAAUGGCUGAACCCCAUGAACAAUUUCAGCCGACAUGCACAAAUCCGCACAAGUUCAUGUGGUGAAAGCACUCGUGGCUGGUAGACAACACUUUAGAAGAUUCGGAAUACAAAAAAGACUACCGUGUCGCUACCCUCGCAGGCGACCUAAAGACGCUACCCUCGCAGGCGAACUAAAGAGCUCCCGCCGCCGCCAUCCAGGAACCCCACCUCCCGCUCCUCCUCCCCUCGCCCCCUCCAGCAGGCAUUGUUGGGGCAAAGCCCUCGCGGUGUGGGCGGCGGCAGGACGGUCUCCCUCCUUGGCAGAUGUGCGGCAGCGUGGGGCUUGCUUGCAUGUUAGGACGUGUUUGGUAGCCUGCACUAAGGGUGCAUGAGAGCAGCAGUUUCCUUCUCAACCCACUUUUAUCUCUUUGGUAGGGUGUAAGAGCCCUACCCGGUAUGGUCCAUCUGAUGCAAAAAAGGGGAUGGAUGUCCGCGUCGCCUGUCCAGGAACAUGUAUUUACUCCUUAUGCUUGUGCUAGUGAUAGAAAUAGUGAU